GACAGAGGGUGCAAACGUUGUUCGGAAUUACUGGGCGUAAAGCGCGUGUAGGCGGCCCUGCAAGUCGGAUGUGAAAUCCCACGGCUCAACCGUGGAAGUGCAUUCGAAACUGCAGGGCUAGAGUCCUGGAGAGGAAGGUGGAAUGCUUGGUGUAGAGGUGAAAUUCGUAGAUAUCAAGCGGAACACCGGUGGCGAAGGCGGCCUUCUGGACAGUGACUGACGCUGAGACGCGAAAGCUAGGGUAGCAAACGGG
rnacentral:rRNA from 1 species